AUGUCCCUGCGUGACUGGCGGCAGGGCAACGCAGGAUUCUCUCGCCGCGGGCCUGGGCGUCCCUC
rnacentral:ncRNA from 18 species